UACGUAGGGGGCGAGCGUUGUCCGGAUUUAUUGGGCGUAAAGAGCUCGUAGGCGGUUCGAUAAGUCGGACGUGAAAUCUCCACGCUCAACGUGGAGGGGCCGUUCGAUACUGUCGUGACUCGAGUCCGGUAGGGGAGUGUGGAAUUCCCGGUGUAGCGGUGAAAUGCGCAGAUAUCGGGAAGAACACCCGUGGCGAAGGCGGCUCUCUGGGACGGUACUGACGCUGAGACGCGAAAGCGUGGGGAGCGAACAGG
rnacentral:rRNA from 1 species